UCAUAUUAUAUUGAAACAACCAUUCUCAUAUGAUCACCAAAGUUAAACAAUGUUGAGCCUGGUCAGUACCUUGAUGGGUGACCACUUGGUAAUACUAGUUGC